rnacentral:rRNA from 1 species
UAAUACAUGCAAGUCGAGCGAGCUUGCCUAGAUGAUUUUAGGUGCUUGCACUAAAUGAAACUAGAUACAAGCGAGCGGCGGACGGGUGAGUAACACGUGGGUAACCUGCCCAAGAGACUGGGAUAACACCUGGAAACAGAUGCUAAUACCGGAUAACAACACUAGACGCAUGUCUAGAGUUUGAAAGAUGGUUCUGCUAUCACUCUUGGAUGGACCUGCGGUGCAUUAGCUAGUUGGUAAGGUAACGGCUUACCAAGGCAAUGAUGCAUAGCCGAGUUGAGAGACUGAUCGGCCACAUUGGGACUGAGACACGGCCCAAACUCCUACGGGAGGCAGCAGUAGGGAAUCUUCCACAAUGGACGAAAGUCUGAUGGAGCAACGCCGCGUGAGUGAAGAAGGGUUUCGGCUCGUAAAGCUCUGUUGGUAGUGAAGAAAGAUAGAGGUAGUAACUGGCCUUUAUUUGACGGUAAUUACUUAGAAAGUCACGGCUAACUACGUGCCAGCAGCCGCGGUAAUAC